UAGCGACAGGCCUAACACAUGCAAGUCGAGGGGCAUCAGAAAGUAGCAAUACUUUGCUGGCGACCGGCGCACGGGUGAGUAACACGUAUGCAACCUACCUACUACAGGGGGAUAGCCCGGAGAAAUUCGGAUUAAUACCGCAUAAUACAUUAGAUUUGCAUAAAUUUGAUGUUAAAGAUUUAUCGGUAGUAGAUGGGCAUGCGUUCCAUUAGCUAGUUGGUAAGGUAACGGCUUACCAAGGCAACGAUGGAUAGGGGAACUGAGAGGUUUAUCCCCCACACUGGGACUGAGACACGGCCCAGACUCCUACGGGAGGCAGCAGUGAGGAAUAUUGGUCAAUGGUCGAGAGACUGAACCAGCCAAGUCGCGUGAAGGACGACGGUCCUACGGAUUGUAAACUUCUUUUAUAUAGGAGUAAAAGAUAGGAUGUAUCCUAUAUUGCAAGUACUAUAUGAAUAAGCAUCGGCUAACUCCGUGCCAGCAGCCGCAGUAACAC
rnacentral:rRNA from 1 species